rnacentral:lncRNA from 1 species
AUGAGGGAUUCUGGAAUCAACGGUUAGCUUAAUAAGAUCCUCCAAAGUGUUGAAAUAAAGAUCAGAUAAGUGCUCAGCCUGUAAGAUCUCCCAGAUCCCUGUAAUACGAGGAUAGAAAAGUAAGCAGUGCUCAAAACCCUCAAUGGCAUCUUGGCAAGGAGCACACAGAGGUUGUUGAUAAGGGAGGAAGCCCCAUUCAUGCAAAAGAACCUUGCUCGGGAGACACCCCC